CGCGCAGGCGGAUAAGCAAGUCAGAUGUGAAAUCUCGGGGCUCAACCCCGAAACUGCGUCUGAAACUACUAAUCUAGAAUGUCGGAGAGGAAGAUGGAAUUUCGCAUGUAGGGGUAAAAUCCGUAGAGAUGCGAAGGAACACCAGAGGCGAAAGCGAUUUUCUGGACGAUCAUUGACGCUGAGGCGCGAAAGCGUGGGGAGCAAACA
rnacentral:rRNA from 1 species